CACGAAAAUAGGGGGUUUCAAAGGAGAAGAAAGGAAAAGUGUAGGGCUAUGUGGGUCACUUUACUUUAUCUCCAUUAAAUCUCCUUUUUCCCAUAAAUCAUUAUCGCAACUCACAAUCCUCUACCACAGCUGACAUUUUGCACCUCCAAAUUGUCGCAUUUUUGCACAUCCAACUUGUCGCACGAAAAGAAAAGAAAACAUCGCUACAUUGGUGGAGGUCUCACCGUGGGUCACUCUUAUUACAGCUUGUUGCCGGGGCAUAUUGUUGUUGCAGAGGUUACAUUGGUAAGAGAGAAGAAAGUCAAGAAGAAGGGGGUUUUCAAAGGGAAAGAAGAAAGCCAACAACUUGAGAAAGAAGGAGAUUCAAGGUCUAAGAUAUCUAACAUCAGUGCAGAUAGUCGAAGAUAGUACCUUUACGAUGUAAUUGGUGUUUCGUACAAUGUGAAGAUUAAAGUGCAAAACAAAAUUUCACCUUUCAGCAGGAGUUGAGAUGGGAAGCUUUGUUCCAAAAAUCCAGACUAAUGAGUGACCCGGAAUAGCAAAGAGAGAAGAAAAUUGUCAACAGGAAGCGCCUGGCAACGCGAAGCCAGCGCCAGGCGGAACAGACCGCCAGCCACGCGCCAGCCAAGCGCCAGACAGGCGCUACUGUCAGUCCCGCCUGGCGGCACUUAGUCACCGCCGGGCGGUAGCGGGGAGAAUUGCCCCCUGUUUGGUGGCUUGCGCCUGGCGGUGAGACCCUUCCGCCAGGCGCCCUUUUUCGCUGAUGUGUCAAGUGACCCCUUUUUCUUCUGUUUUCGCGAAGGGAAACUCAUCUUUGGCAUUUUGGAGGCACGAAGAACACAUUUGGAGAGCUUGGAGGAGUGCUAGGGCUUGUGGGAACAGCUCUAUCUUCCUCUUUGUAUCUCUUUCUCU